rnacentral:tRNA from 2 species
CGCGGAGUGGAGCAGUCUGGUAGCUCGUCGGGCUCAUAACCCGAAGGUCGUUGGUUCAAAUCCUUCCUCCGCUA